AGUUCAGGUCCUCGUCUUUUAGAGCCAUCCAUGCCAUCUCGUCAAAAUGAAGCCUUGGAAGGUCUAAACUCCGAAAAACAGAAGAGGGAGAAGGAUGAGAGGGAGGCAAUGGAAAUAGGAAUCGGGAAUAUUGCAAUCAAUGCUGAUACUAAAGCAGUUAAAGAUUCUCCUUCUGGUAUUAAAUUUUCCAAGACAGCCAUAGCUAGCUCAUCUAAGUAGGACUGGCCUAUGGGACUAGCAAUCUUCUCCUCCUUAUCAUCCAUAUGCUGUUUUCUGCAACAGCAGAUGGUGUCCUGGCAAGGCGUGAUUACUUCAGGCAAUGGUUUAAUUUCAAUAUAAAAUUUUUAAUGGGCAAGGAAUGGAAUGAAAUGGAUGUCAAGUGGCUCUGAUGCCACUGCCGGUUUAGGCAGAGCAUUAUAUUAAACAAAAACGGAUACCAUGGGAGAAUACUUUUUCAAGAACAACUAUUGGAGUGUACACCAUCCAUCCAUGAAGAAUUGGUCGCAUGAAGCCUUUGCUACAAACUCUGUUUGUGAAGAUUGUUCAUUUUAUGUAAUACAGGUACUGGUUUACAUCUAUGAAAUUACUGGAACUAUAGAUACAUUACUUAAAUUCUAUCAUUUUUUGC
rnacentral:misc_RNA from 1 species